CACCUCCACCCGCUCCUGCCGCGCAUCCAUCUCUGGGUAGUGGUGGCCGCCAUCCCAGCCUGCUCCCCAGUGCCUGUCCUCGGGGACCCCCUCCCACUGGGCUGGACUUCACCUCAGCCACUGGGCCCAACCCAGCUGUUACCCCAUUGGGACAGUGUCCAUGGGGUGUGGAGCUUGCGGCAGGGGCUGGGGGAUUUGCAGCAGGACCCGUGGGGGUUGCGGCAGGCGCUGGGGGGUUUGCAGUAGUGGCUGGGGGGUUUGCAGCAGGACCCGUGGGGUUUGCAGUAGGGGCUGGGGGGUUUGCAGCGGGGGCUGGAGUCUCAGCUGCAGGGUGAGGGCCCAAGGUCGAGGUCCAGGCGGAAGGACAAGAGAGA
rnacentral:lncRNA from 1 species